rnacentral:lncRNA from 1 species
AUUGUUUUACAAAUUUUGCUUUAUAAAUUAAGACACAAUUUUUCAAACUGAUUUGACAACUCACUGGCUCAUGUCAACCAAAAAGUGUAAAACUUUUGCUUGUCAAAUGAGAUUACCAAAGUGCCCACAACUACAUAACAGAGAGCUAAGGUUUGCAAUUCGUAGAGGGGUUUUCACUAAUAAACCGGUCUUCGCUAUCUAAGUGCAAAAAGCUCAAAACUCAAGGGAGGAAAGUGAAAAUUACCCUAUACUAUAUGAAAGGAAAUAUGGCAUACUCUCCAUAGAAUAGAUUCCAUAUAAACCGAUAGAACCCUGAGAUUGCCUCCUGCAAAAAGAAAAUUAACAUAGAACCAUAUCAAGAAAAGAAAAUAAAUAUGAUUCUUCUACUAUUGGCAUUGAGAAGGCAAAGUUCAAUUGUUACAGCCAAAUUUAAUUAGAGAUUAGAAAGCAGCAAAAUUUCGAAAACUUUACCACCACACCCACUUCAUUAUUAUGUGAAAAUACUUAGCAAGUUUACUAUCACAGUAGAAAUAGUACCCAAAAGGCCACCCAAAAUAAAUUCAUCUGAUGUCAAAAUUAUUCCUAAGAGGGUGUCUAAAACAUUAUCUUGUUAAACUAUAAUAGCAGAUAUACUGUUAUUUCAUUGUGUAAUUUAGGUUAACUGGGUUACAGGGGCUUUUAGCAUCUUUUAAAGUUUGCAGACUCAGGGCUUUCAUAUACGAGUCCUAUGUUAAAUAUAAAUAUAGCAUAUAGGUGAGGAGGGCUGUGCCCAUACAGUGGUCAAAUUUAAUUCAGUUCUCUUCCAAUAUUUGAUUUUUCCUCCUCCUUAAAUCCAUUAUUUAUUUUGUUUCUAAUCAGUAGAGAUUCUUUAAUUCUUUCACCCCUUCUAAUCAUGUUGCACUAUCUACAUCAUUUUUUCCUAAUUACAUAAUUUUAAUCAUGUCCGAAAAUAGAGCUGAAAAAAGAAAUUUUUCGUUCAAAGAUUAAAGAUCUCAAAAGCUUAAUGAAAUCCAAUGAAACCUGCAGCCUCCAGGUUUAUAUCAAUUAGUUAUAGAACCCAACUCCUCUUCAAAACAAUCAUUCGGUAUAAAUUCCUGAAUCAAGACGUGAAAAAAGGUUUUCCAACUAAAUUGAUAAUUAAAGGAAUGUUACCACAUUCCUAAGGUGCAACAUGUAGCUAGAAUUACCUUGGUAUAAUUCGCUCGUUCCAAUAACCAUGUCUGAAACCAUAUUUAAAUAGAAUUUUAUGUUAAGGAAUAAAACUUGAUUAAAGAACAACAAAAAAGAAUCUUUAAAUUAAAGCAGCAGACUAACAAUAACCAUGCAUAGCAGAAAUUAAUUUCUAAAUCGGGCAUAGUCUUGACCAGCUAGCAGUUUAAAAAAUUCUAAGUUUAUAAGAAAAGACCCAAUAAUAGUAUUCAAACUCUGAGGUCCUCCAUGUGCAUGUUUCUGGACAUAACUUACAUAAUGCAAAAUAAUAGAAUUGAAAAAUUCUAAGAAUUUGAACAGAAGACAUUUUGGUCAAAAUAGUACGUAAUCCAAAAUCUUUAGCUUAUGGAAGAAAACCCAAAAUAGUAUUUAAGCUCUAAUAAAGUACAUAACAGGAAGCACAUAAAGUGGGGAAAAAAGUUAUCCAGGCGACGAAUCAGAAGUAAUCACAUUAAAAAGAAAAAAUGAUUGUGGUAGUACAAAGAAACACACCUGGAAUAGCAAGCAUGAAGCCAAGAUUACAUGUGCGGGUAUCAUUAAGUUACGCCUGAAAGCCUGAAAAUUAUACUAGACUUUAGUUCUCCUAGCAUUGAAGACAAAUGUCAAGAAAUACAACUAUUAAACUGAUUCCAUGAGUUCAGCAGACAACCAUAACAUCAGCAUAAUUUUGCAGAAACAAUUUAGACUCAAUAAGUCCAAACAGUAAGAGAUACCAUGAAACACUCAACUGAUUCCAUGAGAUUUACAAAUAAGCAUAAGAUCAUGCAUUCGAUGAUAUGAACCGUGUAUAAAUCAAUAAGAAUAACUUCUUAAGAGAAGUGUUCACCUGGGGCAUGUAAAUAGCUGCCAAUAUGGCAGCAAUAUAAUUCAACAGCAAAAGUCCAGAACCAAGAAAGGCGAUGUUUCUAACUCCAAGCUUUGUUGCCAAAGUUGAUAUUUUAAAUCUGUAAACACAUAUAUUGGAAUAGGGAAGGUGUUAGAAGUCUAAAAUAUUAGAAGAGUAGAGAGUUUAGUUCCAAUUAAAGCAGAGCAGGUUUCUAAGUGAUGGUAAAAACAUUAAAGCAGAGGAUGCUUGCUGAGGAAAUGAUGAAGAUAAAAGCCAUAAAUUGGACUAACAUAGAUUAUUAAAAGUUAGUGGUAGAACAAUCAAAGAGGAAUCUAAUGAAUAUAACUCUUGUGGCAGAAAUGACUCAAAGAAAAAGAAAAGAAAGAAAACCAAUAAAUUGAUCCAAGUAGGGCAGAAACUUACUUGCGAUCCCCUUCAACAUCUGGAAGAUCUUUGGUGACAGCAAUGACCAGAGCAAACAAUGUGACAAAGGCUGUAAUGAAAGCAACAGGUGCACUGCAAUUUGAAAGUGAAGAGGCAACAUUAAGAUUCUUCCUUAGUUUGCAACAACAUGCACUCAGCCAAGGACAUUCCAUAACAAGGAGGACCAUAUAGCAUUCAAGAUUAUUAUUAAAUUUUGUUUGUUAUGCUACUCUUCAUUCAAGAGUUGACCCACAACUAAAAAGUCAAGACAGAUACUGGUCAGCUUGCACAUGAAAACCAUAGUUUACACUUGCAUGGAAAAUUUAUUUGGAAAGCGAUUUGGAUUCCUAGAGCAUCGGCGAAAUUCAGAGCGAUACAUAAUGUAGGUCUUGUGUUUCUUAUUCACUUUACACAAGUAAUGGAUACUGCUCUACAACAAAGAAGAUUUUUUUGCCUUCUAAACAGAGCUCUUAACCGUGCUUGUCGAAACAAAAAAGGCCACAACCGUGCUUCAUGAAAGAGAAAAGGCCACUUUGAAUUGUUUUACAAAUUUUGCUUUAUAAAUUAAGACACAAUUUUUCAAACUGAUUUGACAACUCACUGGCUCAUGUCAACCAAAAAGUGUAAAACUUUUGCUUGUCAAAUGAGAUUACCAAAGUGCCCACAACUACAUAACAGAGAGCUAAGGUUUGCAAUUCGUAGAGGGGUUUUCACUAAUAAACCGGUCUUCGCUAUCUAAGUGCAAAAAGCUCAAAACUCAAGGGAGGAAAGUGAAAAUUACCCUAUACUAUAUGAAAGGAAAUAUGGCAUACUCUCCAUAGAAUAGAUUCCAUAUA